UACAGAGGUCCCAAGCGUUGUUCGGAUUCACUGGGCGUAAAGCGUGCGCAGGCGGUUAUUUAAGUCAGGUGUGAAAGCCCUGGGCUUAACCUAGGAAUUGCGCUUGAGACUGGAUAGCUUGGAGUGCGGCAGAGGGAGGUGGAAUUCCACGUGUAGCAGUGAAAUGCGUAGAGAUGUGGAGGAACACCGAUGGCGAAGGCAGCCUCCUGGGCCAGCACUGACGCUCAUGCACGAAAGCGUGGGGAGCAAACAGG
rnacentral:rRNA from 1 species